CCUAAUUACAGGUAUUGCUAAGCGUAAUCGUAAAUAUAUAAAAGUUAACUAGUAUAAAAACUACUUUAACUAACGAAAAUAUACUGCUAUUUACAUGUAUAAUAUUAAAUGUAAAAGAGUAAAAAUAUCAAAUACGAAAGAAAAAUGACAAAUGCAAAUAUAAAAAUUUAAGAACAGAAAGGAUUAGAAAGAGUACAUAAAAAAGGAAAGUAG
rnacentral:lncRNA from 1 species